rnacentral:misc_RNA from 1 species
UCCACAUAAAAUAUAGGCAAUAAGAUGCAGAAACUGUCUCCACCGCGAAGGUGUGAACCAUGGGGUGUACUCCAUCACAUGGAUAAAUUUGCUGAAUUAACUUGGACGAACAAGCUUCCUUCGUUUAGCCUGCGGGGAUGUAAAAAGCUUUUGCACUGAAGCAACAGGAUCAUCCACCUUAAUCAAGGAAGAUGGAGCAUGAUUGGACAAAGGAGAAGAAGAUUCCUCAUGACGCUCUAAAGCGGAUAAUGUUUGUUCCCAUCCUGAUGGAGAGACACCAUUAGAUGCUAUCCAGGGGCAAAAAUAUCUGUGCAGCUUGAAUGGAUCAAACUCCAAAGCUUUAUCUAAGGAUAGAAUUGGCAACUCCUUCCCUCGACUAGAUGAUCCAAAAUCAUUUCCAACCUUGUCCUUACAAGGAUCCGUGACUGCUGGAUCAACCUUGUUCAUACUUUCUGUAUUAUCAGCCAUUUCAGUGGUGUUACCAGAAACUUGUGCUGCAGCCUGGUUGUUUUCGAGUUGAGCUUCUGUACUCACUUCCGAAGUAGACAGUGAAGAUCCUUCCUCAGUAUUUUCUCCUGCAAGAAACUCUGGGUUUUUGCUUACACCAGAUGAGCUCUUGGUUACUAAAUCAUCCUUGAGCUCAGAUUCAGCAAUAAACCAUGCUCUCAGAUUCCGUCCAAUGAUUGGCAGAG